rnacentral:rRNA from 1 species
GUCCACGCCGUAAACGAUGUCGACUUGGAGGUUGUGCCCUUGAGGUGUGGCUUCCGGAGCUAACGCGUUAAGUCGACCGCCUGGGGAGUACGGCCGCAAGGUUAAAACUCAAAUGAAUUGACGGGGGCCCGCACAAGCGGUGGAGCAUGUGGUUUAAUUCGAUGCAACGCGAAGAACCUUACCUGGUCUUGACAUCCACGGAAGUUUUCAGAGAUGAGAAUGUGCCUUCGGGAACCGUGAGACAGGUGCUGCAUGGCUGUCGUCAGCUCGUGUUGUGAAAUGUUGGGUUAAGUCCCGCAACGAGCGCAACCCUUAUCCUUUGUUGCCAGCGGUCCGGCCGGGAACUCAAAGGAGACUGCCAGUGAUAAACUGGAGGAAGGUGGGGAUGACGUCAAGUCAUCAUGGCCCUUACGACCAGGGCUACACACGUGCUACAAUGGCGCAUACAAAGAGAAGCGACCUCGCGAGAGCAAGCGGACCUCAUAAAGUGCGUCGUAGUCCGGAUUGGAGUCUGCAACUCGACUCCAUGAAGUCGGAAUCGCUAGUAAUCGUGGAUCAGAAUGCCACGGUGAAUACGUUCCCGGGCCUUGUACACACCGCCCGUCACACCAUGGGAGUGGGUUGCAAAAGAAGUAGGUAGCUUAACCUUCGGGAGGGCGCUUACCACUUUGUGAUUCAUGACUGGGGUGAAGUCGUAACAAGGUAACCGUAGGGGAACCUGCGGUUGGAUCACCUCCUUACCUUAAAGAAGC